GAGCAUUGUGUAUCUGUCAACUAAGUUCUGUGGUUAGCAUUUUGCCAGGUCUUGUUUUCUCACAGCUCUGUCUAUCAGACCCCCAUUUUUUUCUAUACAUUUCAAGAUGCAUUGCAAAUUACUGCCCCCUUUUCUUGGGGAAUCUUCUAAACUUUCAAGUCUUCCAGUGUCAGCUGUAGACAUUCAUAGAUAUUUUUUUCUGGUCUGGGAUUUUUCCCCCAUCCUAAGUCUCUUCGUUCACUGCAGUAACCGUGCUGAUGGAGCCCCUGCCAACCAAGAUUGUGCCAGUUCCACAGUAAAGAGAAAACCCAGGCAGCCAAAUACUGACUGAACAGAGCUCUAGAAGUAGUUUAUGGCUGCGAAUCAUUAGUGGAGUGCCUGCCUGGAAUGCCAUGGUGAGAUCACAUGACCAGACAGGACUUCUCACCUCAUGACCAUGUCAUGAAAUAGAAAAUGAGUGAGCCAGCAUUGCAGUCACCUUCAGGGCACACAUCCCAAAGACCUCAAGUCUACUGCUAAGUCCCACCUCUUAAACUCCCUACUACCUUCCACAGUGCCAGGCUGACGGCUCAAGCCUUCACCUCAUGAAUGAGCCUUUAGAGAAUAUUCCAGACCUAACUUUUAACAUGUCAGGAUUAGAAUCCUUCCAUGGACGGGAGCACAGUGAAAGGAAGGCUAGGUGACUAUGGUGUAACACACCCAAAGUAGGGACCCCUUUGUGGAAUCCAGUUAAGGAACCAGGCCAUGGAGGUAAAGGGACCCUUAGCGCGUUAUAGAGGUCAGAGCUGUCUGAUUUACUUAGCUUGUGUGAUCACGUCAACAACUUAAUUAGAGCCAGGAUGUAGGAACUUUGUGACCUCAGAAAAGAGAUCAGUCAAUGCUCUCCCAACCACUUAGCAGGUCCAAAGCAACGAGUCCUUGUGCUGUGUACAGGACUGCCUCACGGAACGCUCAUCACCCAGUCAUUGGCCCAGCAGUUGCCCGGUACCUCCUAGAUUCUAGGCCCUGAUAAUAAGGAAGCAGGCCUGUUACUCUCUGGGUCUCAGCCCAAUCUAAAGUCUUACAUGACCCACAGCUGACCCUGUCACUGGCAUGUUUCACCCAAAUGCCUGUCAGAGGCUUUCAGAGCUUGUAGAAAUGUUGACUAGCGUAAAUAGAUAAUUUCUUAGUCACUCCAGGCUGCAGAGCAUUGAACACAUUGACCCUCAGCUUAGCAAAGCCUCAUGGUGGCUGUAGGAGGUGACAAGUGACUUGUGGGCCCUGGGUGGCUCAGACUCACAGUUAAGAAGCAAAAUAGCUUUUCUCUGAAAGGAGUCAUUCAGUCACAAAAACAUGAACUCUGGGCUGAGACCACUUCCAUUUAAAGAGAAGGAUUUCAAGGGUAGGAAUGGAUAGAUUUUGAGAAAGAAAGAAAAAAAAAACCAGAGCGAUUACCUAGAAAUAGGAUAGGUUGGUUUGCAAAAGGUACUUAGUACUGCCAAAGGUAUGGUUACAGAGGCUAUUUACCUUUAAAGAUGUGGGAAAUCAUGCUACAGUUUAAAGAUGUGUCUAAUUACUGUAAAAGCAUACACUAUUAGAGCUGACUGUGUCUGUGUGUGUGCUCAUGUGUGUACACAUGUAGGCAUUGUGCAUGUGCUGUGUGUGUGUGAUGGCGUGUGUGUGUGUGUAUGUGUGUGUGAUGGUGUGUGAUGGUGUGUGUGUGUGUGUGUGUGUGUGUGUGUGUGUAGGUCAAAGUCUUGGAUGUUGGUCCUCCUUUUGCUUGAGACAGAGUCUCUCAUUGCCUGGAACUUUCCCAAGUAGGCUAAGAUAACUGGACCGUAAGCCUCCAGAGAUUCACCUGUCUCUUCCUCCCAUCUCAUGAUCACUGAGAACUUUGAGAGAAAUAUUCAAAUCCAACCAGGAACACCUCAUAUCAUCAGAGGAGGAAUGUGGUUGCCGGGAGACGUUACGGCUGUGAUGAAGUUAGGUCUCAUGGCCCAGUAGGCUCUGUUUUCUCACUCUCUCAAGGAAUGCUUACCAACUCAGAGUGGAUAAAGUGAAUAAUUGACUGUUAUAGAGAGCGGGCAGUGCCUGUCAUGGGAGGCACCAUAGUUUCAAAGGAGGUAGAGCAUCCAUUACCAGUUAGGGCCUGAUAUCAGGCUGGCUGAGAGGUAGAGCAUCAAGGAAUUGGAUCAACUUGGUGGGGUCGCAACGAGGACAAACAACAAGCUGAAGAGUGAGGGGAUGGGAGGAUGCCAUUAGCGAGAUGGCUUGAGUUGAGUGGUGAAUGCUUACGUUCAACCAGAUGUGUGUACCGCUGAAGCUGGGUCAAGAGAAAAUUAAUUCCCAGCUAAUGUAGGAAUAUAAGCCUGAGACCCUUCGCUAAAGGCAAUCAGAACCCAGCAGACAUUUCCCCCACUGUUGUCUUAGAGAAAUGUAGUCCUGUAAGUGCUGUGGAUCCAGUGUAUGUUGUUGAACUAUCAAAUAUACAUGCAGAAGUUCAUACGUACUGAUAGAGCUUGCAUGCCCAUACAUGGUCAGACAUUUCUAAGGAACGAAGUGCCCACAUUCACUUCUGACUUUGAACUGGGUUUGAUUCAGAUGUGGUCAGUGUCAUAACUCAGGACUGAACUAAGGAGUGGGUGUUUGUUGGAAAUGGCGGGUGCUAAGCAUCAUGGUUUUUCUGAGAGAAAAGAUGAAGGGCAUUUAUAGUGCGAUUAUAGAUGACAGACAGAUUUCAAAGGCUUUUUCAAAAGAAGACACAGAGCUUGGCAACUGGUCAAGGAACUGCGGAUGCGGAGGGAGAAACCACAGACAGGGUGAGGCAGAAGAUGGAUUGCUUCUCCCCAAGUAGAAACCGAAGGUCAGGAACAGUCAAGGGCCCGUCCGCAGCCACAGUCAAGGGCCCGUCCGCAGCCACAGUCAAGGGCCCGUCCGCAGCCACAGUCAAGGGUCCGUCCGCAGCCACAGUCAAGGGCCCGUCCGCAGCCACAGUCAAGGGCCCGUCCGCAGCCACAGUCAAGGGCCCGUCCGCAGCCACAGUCAAGGGCCCGUCCGCAGCCACAGUCAAGGGCCCGUCCGCAGCCACAGUCAAGGGCCCGUCCGCAGCCACAGUCAAGGGCCCGUCCGCAGCCACAGUCAAGGGCCCGUCCGCAGCCACAGUCAAGGGCCCGUCCGCAGCCACAGUCAAGGGCCCGUCCGCAGCCACAGUCAAGGGCCCGUCCGCAGCCACAGUCAAGGGCCCGUCCGCAGCCACAGUCAAGGGCCCGUCCGCAGCCACAGUCAAGGGCCCGUCCGCAGCCACAAUCAAGGGUCCGUCCGCAGCCACAGUCAAGGGCCCGUCCGCAGCCACAGUCAAGGGUCCGUCCGCAGCCACAGUCAAGGGCCCGUCCGCAGCCACAGUCAAGGGCCCGUCCGCAGCCACAGUCAAGGGCCCGUCCGCAGCCACAGUCAAGGGCCCGUCCGCAGCGGAUACAGACUUGCGGAGCUGCAUUCUCCACACGGUAGAGGAUUCUGCACUGUUAGACUCCUCCUAACAUGUCAUUUGUGUUGGGAUGGCCAUAAAUUACUCACCCCUUGCCUCUGGAUGGCGCUUAUGGGUCUUAAUCAGAGCCUGGCACCCAGCUGAAACUGCGGGUCUCCUGUCACCCUGUCCUAAAUCUGAUAUUUCUCUGGUAGGAAGACUCAGCUCCAAGACUGUUAGCACCAGGCUUGUCAAUGUCACACCAGUGAAAGCCAACCCACAGUGUCCCCAAGUGAAGAGCUGAGUGAGCAGGCCUCAGGCUAAACCCUAGGUUCCCUCCCAAGAGUAAACAGUACAUAGUAAAAUGUCAGCCAGGGACACUGUGGGCCGCAGGUGGUAGAGUGCUUAUCCAGAGGGGAUCAAAUAAACCGGAUGUUGUAGUGAUGCCUGUAAUCACCUCACCUGGGAAGCAGAGGACGGAGGGCCAGAAAUCAUCCUUGGCUACAUCAAGUUCAAGGCUAGCCUGGACUACAUAAUGUCUUCAUGCUGUAAAAUCCAAAAUAGCUAAGCCAUGCCGGCUCUAUACAGAACUGUAAAUAUAUAAAAGCAUGACUUUGAAAUUCUUUGUAAGAGAUGAACUUCAGAGAAGCCCUAGGUAAGCAGCGUCUAUCCUUUCCACUUAGUGGAGAGAAAAAAGUUACCAUGGUUCAUGGAAUGUGUUUAUAAUAUUGACUGUGAACUCAAAAAAGAACAUGGUUUGGCUUUUUAAAUAACCGCAGCUCUACUUCACUGAUCUGUGAGGUGGUAGGUAAAGUGUCAGGUGCAGAGAACAGAAACAACAGAGCAUACACCCAGCUCAGCACCUUCUCUGACUAUGGGAGCACUCAGCACCAUCUCUAUGGGAGCACUCAGCACCAUCUCUGUGUGAACACUCAGCACCAUCACUAUGGGAACACUCAGCACCAUCUCUAUGAGAGUACUCAGCACUAUCACUAUGGGAGCACUCAGCACCAUCACUGUGGGAGCACUGAGAAUCCAGGUGCUGCAUUUAAGGGGAGGCUAUGAAAACAGGUGCAGGUAUAGACCAAAGAACACCAGGUCCAGAAGAACCCCCCUUGCUCGGCUAGGCUUCCGGGUUCCAACAGGCUGAGUGGAAAGCCAGUCUUUGAGUAUUGACCCUGUUCCAAUGGUGCAACUUCAGGUUCACAAGGAAAAUUCAAUAAAUCAGUUUUUUUUAAAUUCCAUUUGAUAUUGAAAAUAAGGAUUUCUCCACUCCUUUUGCCAUGAAGACUUUGACAGACCCCUUCAAGGUAGAAUUUCAUCUAAACUCUGAGUCAUACUACAAGGGGCUGUGUCCCAGUCAGCUGGGAGGUAUAAGCCUAUGGGUGUGGUGGCAGCCAAGUGAUAGCCGUUGUCUUCUUCAGGCACCCGGCCAUCAGAGAGCACAAACCCUUCAGUUUGAGAUGGAGUUCUCCAAAAGAAUUUUGUCCCCUGUAUUAAAUUAUCCUAGAGGGACACCAAGCCCCACUGCACCCCUAAGCGCUGAGUUAGACCUUGGUGGCAUAUCAGAAAAGCUGUGCAGUCACUUGCAGGUUUUGUGACCUUCUUACAGUAAGGAGAUCACAUGGCUUCCCAGUUUGGAGCCAGGGGAAGAAUCAUGCCUUUGUAUAGGUUACUUAAAAUUCCACACUGCCUGCACCAUUUGGGCCAAAAAUGCUAAGAAUCUGCAGCUCCUGCCCCCACGGAAGGCUUCUAACCAGGGCAGCAGCGCGGCUCCACACAGCUGUUGUUGAGAUGGAGAGUUUUAAUUGCCUCUGUGUCAAGAUUUAUUAAACAACGCUUCAGAGGGGCAAACCUAUAAUAGUCAUAUUAGUAGGCGGCUGAAGAAAGGAAAUAAUUGGAACACAGCAUCUUUGCCUUGGAAGGCAACUCAGAAAAUAUCUUUUCCUCGUGAUCAGCCACUAGCUAUCCCGGGAAAAGAGUUUCCAGGUAAACACAAGCCACACAAGUCCCGUUGCCUCCCAGAGCUCAGCUGUGAGUCCCUCUAGACAUUCACCUAGAAGCACUCCUUCCUCUGAGUGGCUUUCUCUUGUCCCCACACUCUCCCAUCCUAUUACAGCUGGAGGCGAGAGUCACUGCUCUGCCCCCAAGGAAAGGGCUGUCCAUGUGCUGGCCUGCCCUGUUUCUGUUAGCCUCUGUAAUAGCUGUAUUCCUAUGAUGUCUGGCCCAUUCAUGCAACGUUGUGGGGGCGUCUGAACCUCCCCAUUUGACUUAAUGCAGCAAUGUGGAUGAGUACUGUAUCUUUCCUGCCUUGUCUGCCUCGGCAAGAUGCCUGAGAGGCUCUUCUGCUAAAAUGGGCUGGGAAGAGCAUCCCUUAAUAGCCAGUUCCCACUACCCAAGAGAGCUAGGAUUUGGGCUAGAAUCUCAAUUGUGUUUUGUGUUUUUUAUUUCAAAUAUUCCUUUUUAAAGAGGCUAUGAAUAGGAGGCAUGAACUAGCACCAACUAUGGGUGCUGUGUACUAUGUCUUCUCUCUCUCACACACACACACACACACACACACACACAC